rnacentral:tRNA from 1 species
AAGAUAUUAGUAAAAACAUUACGCCACUUUGUCAAAGUGAAAUUACAAGUUAAACUCUUGUAUACCUUA